UACGUAGGUGGCAAGCGUUGUCCGGAUUUACUGGGCGUAAAGAGCGCGCAGGCGGUCGGAUCAGUCGAAUGUGAAAGCCCCCGGCUCAACUGGGGAGGGUCACGCGAUACUGAUCGACUCGAAGGCAGGAGAGGGUAGUGGAAUUCCCGGUGUAGUGGUGAAAUGCGUAGAUAUCGGGAGGAACACCAGUGGCGAAGGCGACUACCUGGCCUGUUCUUGACGCUGAGGCGCGAAAGCUAGGGGAGCAAACGGG
rnacentral:rRNA from 1 species